rnacentral:lncRNA from 1 species
GACAUGCUGAGAAAUACAGCCAACCUGCUGCAGAUGGCAGAGAAAAAGAACUUGACCCUUAAUGACAUUCCUGAGCCAUUAACAACACUGUAAGGUGGGCUGAUUGUGGAGGCUAAAGCAAUUCUACCUUGCCGGCUUAUCCACCAUGUGGACUUCUAAUUAAUCUCAGUUGCCGGAAUGCCUCUAAGAUUUCUACGUUAUCUACUGUGAAGAGCAAGUAAUUACUGCAAAUCCUGCCCUUGGGUCAAAACAACCUUGAUGACAUAUUCCUUCUGAAGCACAUAGACUCUUUCCCUAGGUAUAUAAGCCUUGGGUCUGGGGGCUAACGGUGCAGG